UAUUUUCGUUUCUGUCCAAGG
ensembl:piRNA 21ur-9037 ncRNA